rnacentral:lncRNA from 1 species
GAUAAAGUAAAUCAGUGCAAAUGCCAAUCAAAAUAUGUGCCACAUAGGGGUGGGCAACGGUUGUGCGCCAAAAUUCCUUCUUGGUUCAACCUCUGGUUGGGGUACUGGCCUCGACCUCUUAUCUUUUUCACCUUCGGUUGAUCGUGAUGGGUUGCUCCUUAGUUGCCAUAGUGCAUUUUCUGGUCUAGGAAUAAGUGAUUGAAAAGAUAAACCACAUUGGUAGAACAAUGAUCCUGGAGGUGUUUGUGACAUAAACGACAUAUGAGUACAACUAUGUUGUGUCCUAUACACCGAUGGCAUAGUGACUGGAAUUUUGGUCGGUGCCUGAUACAUAGACGGCCUAUACUUGUAACACCCCUACCCAUAUUCAACGCCAGAAUAGGGUUACGGAGCAUUACUUAUAACACAUUUUAAAUAUACAUUUCACAUACAAUUAAUCAAAUCAUUUACAUUCCAUUCACAACCAAACAUUUUGUCCCUAAUACGAGCUCACGAGGCCCUAAAGAUACAUUGAGAGUAGUUUGAGACUAAACUGAUAACUUUGGAAACUUUUUGAACACUUAGAAAAUUUUCUCAAAAACAGGGGACACAUGCCCAUGUAGCCCGGUCGUGUCUCUCACACGGUUGAAGACACACCCGUGUCGCAGGCCGUGUGGACAUUCGAAAUGGAAGCACAUGGCAAUGUCCCAGGCCGUGUCCGACCCCGUGAAACUCUCUGACUUGGGUCACACGGGCAACACACACGCCCGUGUGCCCUAAAAUUGGCCAUACACGCUUGUGUGCCAGGCCGUGUGCUAGGCCGUGCCAAACCUGUAAGGUAUACUGACUUAUGUCACACGACCAAGUCAUACACCUGUGUGUGAAGCCGUGUAGAGCAUACUAACUUGAUUUUAAUUUCAACACCAGGGGACACACAACCGUGUAACAUAACCAUGUGUCACACACGACUGAGACACACGCCCAUGUCUCUGCCGUGUGGACAAAAAUAGGCUAUUUACCAAGUCAUUUUGCCACCUAAACUUAUGCACAUCUAUACCAAAAUCAAAUGGCACAAACAUAGCAUAAAAUAUGUAUUCAAUCAUCCUCAAUCAAGCAUCAUUUUACUAUUUCAAUACCACCAAUAUACAAGACACAUAAUAUCCCAAUAUGCCAUCCAAUUUAUACCAAAUUUCUCUUACCCAAACAUAAAAAAUGACCAAACUCAUAUAUGCAUUGUUUAGCCUAAUUUCACAAGCAUACGAAUAUCCAGAACUCAACCAUUUAACACUUAUAAUACCUAUUAUCACCAAGCAUCACACAAUCAUCAUCCAACACAUUUCACUAAAACAUAUACACAUUUAUAUAUACAUGAUUCAAACAUACCAAAAUAACCCAAAAUAAGUCAUCACUCAUGGCUAUAUAUAUACAAACCAAAAUAUAAACUUUUACAACCCAAUUCAAAUAGCCAAAAUCAUUUUCAACUCAUAACCAAAAUGACUCAAAAUACCUAUACAUGCCAUAUAACCAAAACAUAAGUUCAAAAGUACCAAAUUGAUAGUUGGAUAGUGUGAUGUAAUCCCUGACGAUCCCCGAAUUUGAGUUAGCUUUAAAGUCACUAUAAAACAUGGAAAAAUAAACAAAAUAAGCUUUAUAGCUUAGUAAGCUUGUAUGAAAUAAACUCAAUCUUAACAUGAUUAUAUAAAUUAUCAAUUUGAACAUAUCAACAUGUAAUUAAUUUAACUAACAAACCUUUCACAUUUUCAAUCAUAAUCUUAUAUAUGAACUUCACAACUUCUUCGAUUUAAGUUUAUACAGUUCAUGUACAUACCUGUACCAUCUUGUAUCAAUUUCAUACACAACCACGUCCUUUAUUUACCCGUUGAACCAUUCGGAAUACUAUCGGAUACAUGAGAAACUCGCACCAAAGUGCCAAUAUCAUGGCCUGAAACCAACUCAAUCUCAUAACACAUAUACUGCUCACACUAGAGCUAUCAACAUGCCUGCUCACACAAGCUGUGGGUCAAGACGUAGCUACACGGUGCUGCUCACACAAGUUGUUAAGUAACCGCAACACAUGCCGGUAUACUCAGCCACCGGUAGGACAUACAGAACCAGCACUCGGAUCACAUAAUCACAAUAAUCCCUAAUGACCACUACAACAAAACUGACUUUUAGCGGCGUUUUUUUAGGCCUUUAGCGGCGCUUUUACAAGCGCCACAAAAAAACGCCGCUAUAGAUGGCGCCACAAAAGUUUGCGGCGUUUUUUUUUUUAAAAACGCCGCUAAAGGUCAUGGCCUUUAGCGGCGCUUUUCCCACAAACGCCGCUAAAGGUCAUAGCCUUUAGCGGCACUUUUCCCACAAACGCAGUUAAAGGUCAUGAAAUUUAAAAAAAAAAUAUUAUAAAAUAUUAUAAAGGUCUUGAAAAAUUAAAAUUCAUUAUCAAAAUAUUGAGGAGAAUAAUAUCCAUGAUAUAAAUAUAAAAAUUUUCUAUUAAAAUUCAUUAUCAAAUUAAAUUUUGUAUGAAAAUUUUAACUUUAAAACUAAAUAUAAAAUUUGAUGAAUUCAAAUUUAGAAUUUAAAAUAAUAAAUUAAUAACAAAACUUAGAACUCAAGUUAUUAAA